rnacentral:rRNA from 1 species
GACGAACGCUGGCGGCGUGCUUAACACAUGCAAGUCGAACGAAGUGGCGAACGGGUGAGUAACGCGUAAUCAACCUGCCCUUCAGAGGGGGACAACAGUUGGAAACGACUGCUAAUACCGCAUACUGAUGGAGGGGAUUGCGUCUGAUUAGGUAGUCAGGGGGGUAACGGCCCAACAAGGCGAUGAUCAGUAGGCUGUCCGAGAGGAGUAACGGGCAAAUUGGGAAUGGGAAAAGGCCCAGACUCCUACGGGAGGCAGCAGUGGGGAAUCUGCCGCCAUGGACGAAAGUCUGACGGAGCAACGCCGCGGUAGUGAUGACGGCCUUCGGGUUGUAAAGCUAUGUUAAUCGGGACGCGGUACCGGAAUAGAAAGCCACGGCUAACUACGUGCCAGCAGCCGCGGUAAUUC